GGAGCCACCUGAAUUCCUAUGUUGAAAUUUGGUCAUGCCUCCUAUGUAAAAAUCAUGAUAUCUCCCUCAUUCAUGUACCUGGGUAGUUAGUGUCUAAGUCUGACCUCCACAACUAAAGUGACGUAGAGAACUUUAUAAUUUCCCUCUGAAUAUUCUUCUCAAUUAUUCACAAGAAAUAGGAGCCAUGCUGAAAGGUUAAAAGACUGGGAUUAUUUAGCCAGAGGCAGAGAAGGAUGAGGAAUGACGAUAGGUUUUUAGUAGAGGUCUACUUCAUUUUAUGGAAUAGAUGUUUGCCUGAAAAGUUAUACGUCAAUUAAACUUCAUAAAUUGAAUCAUACUUGAAAAUCACUAGGGAUGUUUACUAGUUAAAAGAAAGAUCCCUGAGGUUCAUUAUUUUGCAAUGCAAAUAGUCACUUACUAAAUUAUGUCUUUUACAGAUUGGAAUUUUUGCCUAGAGAGUUUUCUCACUGUAAAGGAGAUAACACAGAAGAUAGUGGUCUUUAUUACUGUGGAGGAUCAAACAAGAUCUAUAUGCUACUAACUGGUACAAUUCGUUAGCAGGAUUGCUCAUUACCGGACAAAUCAGAGUACAGUUGCAUUUUGGAGGUGUUGCUUGUAAACAGCUAAAUUUUCGGGCAUGCCAUUGAAGCUCUGGCCAUAUAAGGCCGUUGGUCAUUCACUGCUGGAAGUAGCACUCUCAGAGGCCCUUCUCCAUGGAGUGUUUCAAAAUAAGAAAAAUCUUCACGUUGCCUUUUUCCACCUAAGUCUGGGCAACAAAGUCACAUGCAGAAGCUGAGAAUGAACGUGCAAAUCCUGCUUGAUUUGAAUGGUAUGAUGCUCUCAGGGAUCGCCUAGACAUCCCUUAGAAAAACCCUGCUGGUAGAGGCAG
rnacentral:lncRNA from 1 species